rnacentral:rRNA from 1 species
UACGUAGGGGGCAAGCGUUGUCCGGAAUCAUUGGGCGUAAAGAGCGUGUAGGCGCCAGAAAAGUCCGCUGUGAAAACUCGAGGCUCAACUUCGAGCUGUCGGUGGAAACUUUCUGGCUAGAGUCCGGAAGAGGAGAAUGGAAUUCCUGGUGUAGCGGUGGAAUGCGCAGAUAUCAGGAGGAACACCGGUGGCGAAGGCGGAUCUCUGGGCCAUUACUGACGCUGAGGAGCGAAAGCGUGGGGAGCGAACAGG